GGAGUUAGCUCAGCGGUAGAGCACUUGCCUAGCAAGCGCAAGGCCCUGGGUUCGGUCCCCAGCUCCG
rnacentral:tRNA from 1 species